rnacentral:rRNA from 1 species
ACACAUGCAAGUCGAACGGUAACAGGAAGCAGCUUGCUGCUUUGCUGACGAGUGGCGGACGGGUGAGUAAUGUCUGGGAAACUGCCCGAUGGGGGGGGAUAACUACUGGAAACGGUAGCUAAUACCGCAUAACGUCGCAAGACCAAAGAGGGGGACCUUCGGGCCUCUUGCCAUCGGAUGUGCCCAGAUGGGAUUAGCUUGUUGGUGAGGUAACGGCUCACCAAGGCGACGAUCCCUAGCUGGUCUGAGAGGAUGACCAGCCACACUGGAACUGAGACACGGUCCAGACUCCUACGGGAGGCAGCAGUGGGGAAUAUUGCACAAUGGGCGCAAGCCUGAUGCAGCCAUGCCGCGUGUAUGAAGAAGGCCUUCGGGUUGUAAAGUACUUUCAGCGGGGAGGAAGGGGUUAAGGUUAAUAACCUUAGUCAUUGACGUUACCCGCAGAAGAAGCACCGGCUAACUCCGUGCCAGCAGCCGCGGUAAUACGGAGGGUGCAAGCGUUAAUCGGAAUUACUGGGCGUAAAGCGCACGCAGGCGGUCUGUCAAGUCGGAUGUGAAAUCCCCGGGCUCAACCUGGGAACUGCAUUCGAAACUGGCAGGCUUGAGUCUCGUAGAGGGGGGUAGAAUUCCAGGUGUAGCGUGAAAUGCGUAAGAGAUCUGGAGGAUACCGGUGGCGAAGCGCCCCCUGGACGAAGACUGACGCUCAGUGCGAAAGCGUGGGAGCAGCAGAUAGAUACCUGGUAGUCCACGCGUAAACGAUG